GUCCCAGUAGCGCAAUGGAUAGCGCGUUGGAUUUCUAAUCUAAAGAUCGUGGGUUCGUAUCCCGCGUGGGAUG